CCUACGGGUGGCAGCAGUGGGGGAUAUUGCACAAUGGGGGGAACCCUGAUGCAGCGACGCCGCGUGGGUGAAGAAGCGCCUCGGCGCGUAAAGCCCUGUCAGCAGGGAAGAAAAUGCCGGUACCUGUAGAUGAAGCACCGGCUAACUACGUGCCAGCAGCCGCGGUAACACGCAGGGGGCAAGCGUUAUCCGGAUGUACUGGGUGUAAAGGGGGCGCAGACGGCGAUGCAGGCCAGGAGUGAAAGCCCGGGGCCCAACCCCGGGACUGCUGUUGAAACUGCGUGGCUGGAGUGCAGGAGGGGCAGGCGGAAUGCGUGGUGUAGCGGUGAAAUGCGGAGAUAUCAGGAAGAACACCGGUGGCGAAGGCAGCCUGCUGGACUGCAACUGACGUUGAGGCACGAAAGCGUGGGGAGCGAACAGGAUUAGAUACCCGAGUAGUC
rnacentral:rRNA from 1 species